rnacentral:lncRNA from 1 species
AGUUUCGACGAUGACUCUAGGACUCUUUGGCAGAUCGAAGAGUGGAGUUUGAUAGCAGAUUGAAUAAAGUUUCUAUAGGUGUUGAUUUUGGGUGAUUUGGAGUUGUUAUGACUUUGUGAGAGCUUUGCAAAGUCAAUGCUUGUUUCGGAUGACUUGAGUUUUAUGAAAUAAAAUAAGGUUUAUAUUUUGGGUGAUUUCAAGAGUUUUGUAGCAGAUCUAUGGAUGAAAUUUUGUGAGUUUAUGGUUGUAGUUGUGUUCAAUAUGUGUUGUGAAUUUGAGCUCGAUCUAACGGUUGAAUUGAAGGAUAUUGAGGUUUAAGUGGGUCAAGGUCUCAAAAAGUAGAAUUUUAGGUCUUGUGAGAGUUUUUAAGAUUUCUUGCAAUCUACUACUUGGAUUGGAGUGAAACUUGUGUGAGAGGAUAUAAGACUUAUUUUUCUAUGUGCAUGAGAAUUUUGAGAUCAAUUGAAUGGUGCAAAAGAGAGAUACAAGCUCUUGAAGAUUGGCUUCAAGAUUAGAGAAGGAGGCCGGCCAAUACCCGAGAACAUUUUUGAAGUUAUCAUCAAUUUGGUAACUUCGAUCCUUUUCAAUUUUUUUGUGCUUGUUUUUAACUUAUUUUUUUAGAAGUGUGCAAAAUUUGAGUUAAGAUCAAUGGUUUAUUCAUUAGUUAUUGAGGUUUAAAUCUGAUGUAGGAAUUACUAGGGUUUGGUUUAGGAUUUGGUUUAGGAUUUGGUAAGGGUUUUAUUUAGGGUUUAGGAUUUGGUUUUGGAUUUAGUUAGGAUUUUUUUAAGGAUUUAGGGUUUUGGAUUUAAUUAGGGUUUUUUUAGGAUUUAGGAUUUAGAUUAAGGUUUGAUUUAGGAUUUAGGAUUUGAUUAGGAUUUGGUUUAGGGUUUAGGAUUUAGAUUAGGGUUUGAUUUAAGGUUUACGGUUUGGUUUAGGGUUUAGGAUUUGGAUUAAGAUUUGGUUAGGAUUUGAUUUAGGAUUUAGGAUUUGGUUUAGGAUUUUAUUAAGAUUUGAUUUAGGAUUUGGUUAAAGUUUGGCUUAAGGUUUGUUUAGGGUUUGAUUUAGGAUUUAGGAUUUUAUUAGGUUUUAAGAUUCAAUUAGUUUUGGCCUAAAGUUUGAAUGAAGUUCAAUAGGAUUUUAACUAGAAUUAAAUUAAGAUUGAAUUGAGAUGUAUUCGAGUGAUAUUUGUGAUCCUUCUAAUAUUUCUUUAAGAAUUCUUAUUGUUUGUUUGAAAUUUCUUUGAGACUUUUUUUUGAAUUUGAUUAAGCUUGCUUAGCAUUAUUAUGGUCUAAUUAGAGCAUUGUUAGUAUUCUAUUAGAAUUAGGAUUUUGUUAUUGCAAUUUCCAUUCUUCUUUCUGAAGCUAGGUACCUGGUGCAUUCUCAAGCAAGACUUUACAUAUAACGACAAUGUCCCCAAAAUCCUCUCAAUAUAGGCAUGAACAAAGGCUACUUUUGUAGACAAAAAGGAUCCUGUUGGCAAGUGGCAUCCCGAUUACUA